rnacentral:rRNA from 1 species
GGUAUGUAAAGCUCUAUCAGCAGGGAAGAAAAAAAUGACGGUACCUGACUAAGAAGCCCCGUCUAACUACGUGCCAGCAGCCGCGGUAAUACGUAGGGGGCAAGCGUUAUCCGGAUUUACUGGGUGUAAAGGGAGCGCAGGCGGUGCGGCAAGUCUGAUGUGAAAGCCCGGGGCUCAACCCCGGGACUGCAUUGGAAACUGUCGUACUUGAGUAUCGGAGAGGUAAGUGGAAUUCCUAGUGUAGCGGUGAAAUGCGUAGAUAUUAGGAGGAACACCAGUGGCGAAGGCGGCUUACUGGACGAUAACUGACGCUGAGGCUCGAAAGCGUGGGGAGCAAACAGGAUUAGAUACCCUGGUAGUCCACGCCGUAAA